ensembl:antisense Prkag2os1 protein kinase, AMP-activated, gamma 2 non-catalytic subunit, opposite strand 1
GACAGAGAAGAAUCCAGAGAGCCGGGAGGCUGGCUUCAUCCUUUCCAGGAUGCCUAGGAAGAACCAAUCAAUACCUGGGAGACGAUACAUCUCCUUUCCACAUUACUUGGGGACUAAAAUUUCAUUCCAGAAACUUCUGGGGGUGCAGACACCUUCCAAAGCACAGUCUACAGAACAACUCCUGUACCUUCUUAAGCCUAGGACACCGUUAGGGUAUGUUUGAACCAGACUUUGGAUAUACUAAAACGUGGCAAUAUGUUAAAUACAGGAAACUGUGCACCUGUUCAUGUAUGGUGACGCCACGGAGGGCCAGACUGCUGCAGUGCCCAAGGUGUGCCAUCUCCACAGAGAACCCAUCUUCACUCCCUUUAGGCAAUUCCCUCCCACCAGAGGCAGGAAGCAAACUACAACACCACGCUGGAGCAGCAAACGUAACCAUGUGAGCUAUCAUGCACCAGCUCCUUCCUUAUUUCUGAUCACCCUGGACUCAGUUAGCCCGGCUUCCCACAGUAAGACUGUGUCUAGACUGUGGGGACAACAGGCUGGGAGCCAGGAAUGGACCUCAAGCCUACGAGAGCGUCCAAGCUGCUUUACUAAUACCUUUGAACCUUCCGAUGACUGGAACAGAGUUGAAAUUUAUCAGAAAAUAGAAAAACAGCUUUGGCACAGCACUACCAGUCAUCAUGUACGUCUCUGAAUAACAAAUGUUCAUCUCUAGGUCAUGCCUCCAGAUGUGUAAUUGAAGAUACUAACUGGAUGAAUGAACAACUUAAAGUUCCAGGGGAACAAAGCGCUGUUCUGGAUGAUUCCGCCAGCACCACUCCCUCUUCCAGUUCAGCUUCACAGCUAUCCAGGGGUGAAAAGUGGGCACACAGCGAACUUUGAGAAAUGCACAUAAUAUGAAUCUCAAGGAAAGAGAAAAGCCAUGAAAUCUAUACUAAGCGGAAUCCCCAUGUUAAGAUUCACCAAUAAAAGCCUUUUAGAGUCUGUGG